rnacentral:rRNA from 1 species
AGUGAACGCUGGCGGUAGGCCUAACACAUGCAAGUCGAACGGCAGCACAGUAAGAGCUUGCUCUUACGGGUGGCGAGUGGCGGACGGGUGAGGAAUACAUCGGAAUCUACUUUUUCGUGGGGGAUAACGUAGGGAAACUUACGCUAAUACCGCAUACGACCUACGGGUGAAAGCAGGGGAUCUUCGGACCUUGCGCGAUUGAAUGAGCCGAUGUCGGAUUAGCUAGUUGGCGGGGUAAAGGCCCACCGAGGCGACGAUCCGCAGCUGGUCUGAGAGGAUGAUCAGCCACACUGGAACUGAGACACGGUCCAGACUCCUACGGGAGGCAGCAGUGGGGAAUAUUGGACAAUGGGCGCAAGCCUGAUCCAGCAAUACCGCGUGGGUGAAGAAGGCCUUCGGGUUGUAAAGCCCUUUUGUUGGGAAAGAAAAGCAGCAGGUUAAUACCCCGCUGUUCUGACGGUACCCAAAGAAUAAGCACCGGCUAACUUCGUG